rnacentral:rRNA from 1 species
AAUAGAUACCCUGGUAGUCCACGCCGUAAACGAUGAGUACUAGGUGUCGGGGGUUACCCCCCUCGGUGCCGCAGCUAACGCAUUAAGUACUCCGCCUGGGAAGUACGCUCGCAAGAGUGGAACUCAAAGGAAUUGACGGGGACCCGCACAAGUAGCGGAGCAUGUGGUUUAAUUCGAAGCAACGCGAAGAACCUUACCUAAGCUUGACAUCCCAUUGACCUCUCCCUAAUCGGAGAUUUCCCUUCGGGGACAGUGGUGACAGGUGGUGCAUGGUUGUCGUCAGCUCGUGUCGUGAGAUGUUGGGUUAAGUCCCGCAACGAGCGCAACCCUUGCCUUUAGUUGCCAGCAUUAAGUUGGGCACUCUAGAGGGACUGCCGAGGAUAACUCGGAGGAAGGUGGGGAUGACGUCAAAUCAUCAUGCCCCUUAUGCUUAGGGCUACACACGUGCUACAAUGGGUGGUACAGAGGGUUGCCAAGCCGCGAGGUGGAGCUAAUCCCUUAAAGCCAUUCUCAGUUCGGAUUGUAGGCUGAAACUCGCCUAC